AGUACAAGAGAGAUUCAAGGAAAAGAUGGAAUUUUAACAGUUCACCAAAGAGAGCCUGUAACUUAUAUAGGAGAGUUGAGUAGGAAUUUUAGGUUUGGAACCAAGAACCUUCACUCAUUCCCUUACUUGGUCAUUUCAUUAAGACUGAGUGUUUACCACUUCCUGGGCUCUGUGCUAAGUACUUGAGAUACGGAUAUAAGGAGUCUUUUAAGGAGCUUCCGGUCUGUGGGGGAGACAUGCAGAUACAAUAAAAUGCCACCAGUGCUAUAGCAAAACUCGCAUAAGGUAUUGUGGGAGCACAGAAGGGGAGCUGUUAACCUAGAACCAACAGGAGCAAUCUUGGAUAACUUCUUGAAGCAGGUGGCACUUCAGUAAUUUUUUAAGAAUAAAGAGGAAUUAGACAAAUGAAGGGAGACAGAAAGGACAAGAUAGACUGGAGAGGCCACAUAGACAAAGGCCGAUGGCAGGAUAAAUGUUAAGUGUUUGAGGAAAUGCAAGUAAUUUGGGGUGUAUUAGACCAGUGAGGUAGGUAGGAAAAAAACAAGACCCAUGAACAACCUUUAGCAUUAAAAAUUUAAUUUUAUCCUGAAGACAGUAAGGAAUGGUCAACAGGAAGUAACAUGAUCAGAUUUGCAGCAGUGUAAAAAUAGAUUGGAGACAACUGUUGGUUAAACACAGUGCAUUAUAUAUGUGAUUAUCUUUGUUCUCUCCAAAAACCCAUGGAAAUGAUAAUAACAUAAAUAAAAAGGCAUUGCUCUACAAGUACAGUCAGAAUGGAACAAUAGCGGGCAGAUGAGAGAUGUCAACUCAGUUCUACAAAAUGUCAAGUGGAUGGAAGGGUGAUACCUCAUCAGUGAACUAGAGACAGUGGGAUCCCUGCUUCUGCAGGAUGGGAGAGGUGAGACACCAACUAGAAGCAAGCUGAUUCACAUUGAGAAACCUUGAAAGGUUCAGAAAUCAAGGUGGCAGGUAUCCAUAAACGUACAGACUCGGGGAAGGGCUGAGAACAGAAGAAUAAGUUGUUUAUUAGGAACAAUUACAUAAACUUCUAGAUAUGCUCUUUUCCUGUACCACACAGUCAGGAAACUGGCCUGUACCCCAAACCUAGCAUAACUCUGAAGGCACAUUUUCUGAGUUGAACUAGAAACAUUCUGACUCAGGCAUCAGCCGAGGUGAAGGUGCUGGAUGAGGCAUCACAUUACAAUGGUGGAAGUAAGUGAAACUCUAUAUACUGAAUGGUGAGACCCUUGCCUGGCACCCAGAAAUGAAAGCCAGACCUGUUCUGUAAGUGGGAAGUUGGAGGAGUGGAAGAGUCCUUUUGGGAGAAACCGAUCUGCUCAAAACAAAAGGCCUACAUAAUGUUGACAUUGGAGGUCCCCUGAGAGAUUGCUAGAUUCCUGCCUGCCCACUCUGCAGUGAAACCCUGAAGGAAACAGUCUUAUCCUUUACAGAAACAGAGCUUUCGGUCAGCAUUUUAGCUCCUCACUCAAACAUGAAAAAAUGACAAGGGAUCAUUAGACACUUGAAAGGGAAUGGCAGAAACCAAAGUGAAAAAGCAGGACAAAAA
rnacentral:lncRNA from 1 species